UCUCAAUAUGAAUAAGGAUUAACCUUCCACAGCUACCGCUCCCAAGUCGCAGCCAAUGGCUUUACGAACGUCAACUCUUCCUCAACCUUUUCCCAAACUCCUGCUCCACCAUCUUGCCAUCUUCUUCCGCUCUAUCAAAUCCAUCUCUCAGAGGCUCAUGCCUGCCUUUCUUGCUUCAUCUUCCAGUAAAAUUCCGAUCCGCUCCAUCGUCGAGCGAAGCGAUCAAGUGGAAUGUGUUGUUUGCCUUUGUAGUAUUGAGAAAGGUGAAAAGAUUAGAGAUCUCAAUUGCCAACAUCGCUUUCACAAAGUUUGCUUGGAUAGAUGGUUGGAGCAUCAAGGAAGGACCUGUCCCAUAUGCCGAGAUCAUCUAUACUCAGUGAAGGAAGCCAAGACAGGAAGCAAACUUGAGGUGAUCCAUGGUGAAGUGGAUACCAUCAUCAUCUCCCCGUUUGGUGACUCCGACCAUGAGGAUACAUGGUGGAUAAGAUAAAGAUAUGAGUUGGAUUUGAUCAGUAGGACAUCUGUCCUUCCAAGUUAAAAGCUUGCUAUAAGAAUGAAAGCAUAUGUAUCUUAUCUGUUUUUUUUUUUUUCUUUUUUCAUAUUGAGCUAAUAUUUAUAAACUUUGCGCUUUAUUACACAUAAAGAAUAGCACCCUAGAAGAAUGUUUUCUGUGCCAAGGUCCUGUUGAAACUGUUGAUCACCUAUUCUCUGAGUGUGGAUCCUCUGCCACCAUCUGGAAACCUACCCUCAGACUGGCGAAUGAAGAACUUCAGUAAGCAAUCCUAGCCUGUGUCAUUGAUGUUGGUGGCUGCCUUCUCCUGGACAUGCUGGCAAGAAAGGAAGGCAAGAGUCUUCAGAACGAGCAAAGUUCAGUGCUUUCGAUGGGUGAAUCAAAUGAGUUGGUGGUCUUCCUUGUUUCCUUGCCUGCUAUUGCACCAAAAAACAACAGACGGACUGAAUGGGUGAUGCUCCCCCAACCAACCAACCAACUCUCUGGAAUCAAGACAGAGUUGGCUGCAGUUUCAGCUGCUCCUUGGAGAAGGAUUUCUUCCUUGAAGACUUUGCUUCAUACAACAUAGCAGUGGGCGCAUUCUUGGAUGAUUUCAGCAAGAGGGCACAUUUUUCGCUGUUACAAUAUGUGGUCCUUAACCACUGAGAAUAUCCUAGGUUGUUUUUUCACAGUCUGUCUUCUGAAACUAAGCACUGUAAUCUCUCUCUGUUUCCAAGUCUUCUUGUAAUUACUCUGUUCUAAUAAGAGUUAGGUGGCUGCUUUCUCAGCCUCCUAUUCCAUCAAAAACAAAGCAUAUGAAAGAAAGCAGAUGAUCUAAAGUUGGCCAAGACUUUGAUAAAUCAUAUAGAAAUGAUAUGACCAUAAAAGCAUGGUUUUGAGUAUUAGACUAUAGUGGCUGGUAUGCCGUGUUCUGUAAUACUAGGAAUAGAUACUGUGUAUCAGUUGGUCAUCAAUACAAGUAGCAAAAUUGGUGCUUAAAA